UUUCCGUAGGUGAACCUGCGGAAGGAUCAUUCAUAAUAAAGUGUUAUAUGGCACUUUUUAAAAAUCCAUAUCCACCUUGUGUGCAAUGUUAGAUCUCGUCAAUCUUGGCGAGAUUUUUAUACAUCAACUCAUUUUUUAACUAAUUUGUCUGAAAAUAUUAUGAAUACUUAAUUCAAAAUACAACUUUCAACAACGGAUCUCUUGGCUCUC
rnacentral:misc_RNA from 1 species